GGUUAAGCGACUAAGCGUACACGGUGGAUGCCUAGGCAAUCAGAGGCGAUGAAGGACGUGCUAAUCUGCGAUAAGCGUCGGUAAGGUGAUAUGAACCGUUACAACCGACGAUUUC
rnacentral:rRNA from 1 species